rnacentral:rRNA from 1 species
AACGAACGCUGGCGGCAGGCCUAACACAUGCAAGUCGAGCGGACCCUUCGGGGUUAGCGGCGGACGGGUGAGUAACGCGUGGGAACGUGCCCUUUGCUUCGGAAUAGCGCUGGGAAACUGGGAGUAAUACCGGAUACGCCCUUUUGGGGAAAGAUUUAUCGGCGAAGGAUCGGCCCGCGUUGGAUUAGGUAGUUGGUGGGGUAAUGGCCUACCAAGCCGACGAUCCAUAGCUGGUUUGAGAGGAUGAUCAGCCACACUGGGACUGAGACACGGCCCAGACUCCUACGGGAGGCAGCAGUGGGGAAUCUUAGACAAUGGGGGAAACCCUGAUCUAGCCAUGCCGCGUGAGCGAUGAAGGCCUUAGGGUUGUAAAGCUCUUUCACCGGGGAAGAUAAUGACGGUACCCGGAGAAGAAGCCCCGGCUAACUCCGUG